GCUGUGAUGGUCGAGAGGUUAAGGCAUUGGACCUGAAAUCCAAUGGGGUUUCCCGCGCAGAUUCGAACCUUGCUCACAGCG